GACGAACCGUCCAAACGUUAUUCGGAAUCACUGGGCUUAAAGGGUGCGUAGGCGGUCCGGGAAGUUGGGUGUGAAAUCCCUCGGCUCAACCGAGGAAUUGCGUCCAAAACUGCCGGACUCGAGGGAGACAUAGGUGAGCGGAACUUAGGGUGGAGCGGUGAAAUGCGUUGAGAUCCUAAGGAACACCAGUAGCGAAAGCGGCUCACUGGGUCUCUUCUGACGCUGAUGCACGAAAGCUAGGGGAGCGAAGAGGAUUAGAUACCCUCGUAGUCCUAGCCGUAAACGAUGAGCACUGAUUUGGAGGGUCCUCCAUAGCCUUCCAGAUGUAGCGAAAGUGUUAAGUGCUCCGCCUGGGGAGUAUGGUCGCAAGGCUG
rnacentral:rRNA from 1 species